rnacentral:rRNA from 1 species
GACGGAGGAUGCAAGUGUUAUCCGGACUCACUGGGCGUAAAGCGUCUGUAGGUGGUCAAAUAAGUCAACUGUUAAAUCUUGAGGCUCAACCUCAAAAUCGCAGUCGAAACUAUUAGACUAGAGUAUAGUAGGGGUAAAGGGAAUUUCCAGUGGAGCGGUGAAAUGCGUAGAGAUUGGAAAGAACACCGAUGGCGAAGGCUCUUUACUGGGCUAUUCCUAACACUGAGAGACCAAAGCUAGGGUAGCAAAGGGG